rnacentral:rRNA from 1 species
CCGGUUGAUCCUGCCAGAGGCCACUGCUAUCAGAGUUCGAUUAAGCCAUGCGAGUCGAGAGGUGCAAGACCUCGGCAUACUGCUCAGUAACACGUGGACAAUCUAACCUAAGGUGGGGGAUAACCCCGGGAAACUGGGGAUAAUACCCCAUAGACUAUGGAAGCUGGAAUGCUCUGUAGUUCAAAGGUUCACCGCCUUAGGAUGGGUCUGCGGCCGAUUAGGUUGUUGUUGGGGUAACGGCCCAACAAGCCUGUAAUCGGUACGGAUUGUGGGAGCAAGAGCCCGGAGAUGGAUUCUGAGACACGAAUCCAGGCCCUACGGGGCGCAGCAGGCGCGAAAACUUUACAAUGCGGGAAACCGUGAUAGGGGAACUCUGAGUGCCCGUUAAAUCGGGCUGUCCACCAGUUUAAACAACUGGUGAAGAAAGGGCCGGGCAAGACCGGUGCCAGCCGCCGCGGUAAUACCGGCGGCUCGAGUGGUGGCCACUAUUACUGGGCUUAAAGCGUUCGUAGCUGGUUUGUUAAGUCUCUGGGGAAAUCUACCGGCUUAACCGGAAGGCGUCUCAGGGAUACUGGCAGACUAGGGACCGGGAGAGGUGAGGGGUACUCCAGGGGUAGGAGUGAAAUCCUGUAAUCCUUGGGGGACCACCUGUGGCGAAGGCGCCUCACCAGAACGGCUCCGACAGUGAGGGACGAAAGCUGGGGGAGCAAACCGGAUUAGAUACCCGGGUAGUCCCAGCCGUAAACGAUGUGCGUUAGGUGUAUCGGUGACCACGAGUCACCGAGGUGCCGAAGAGAAAUCGUGAAACGUACCGCCUGGGAAGUACGGUCGCAAGGCUGAAACUUAAAGGAAUU